AUUUGCAGUGUAGUCAGGAACUCUCUGAAUAUCUGCUUCUCCAACUGAAAUGUGAAGCAUUGGGUGCCAAUGCAGCACCGGAUUGUGAAGCUAUGUCAGUCCAGCGAUGGAAUAUGAGGCAACAGGUGGGAUUGAAGCAUCCUCACUUGGAUCCUUCUGCUUGUUAACCUUGAGUUCUGUGGAUUGUAUCCUGGGUAUUCUGUACAUUAUGGCUAAUAUCUACUUAAUGGAAUCUUUAAGCACUAACGGGAGAGAUUUGAUGGUGACAUUCAAUUUUGGAGCAAGUAUCUGAAGAUGUCUUCCUCUCUGCACAUUUUUCAGGGUCCCUGCUUGAGAACAGUGCUUCCCACAGUGAAUGUGUUUUCUCACUUGAAUUAACAGACUCAAGAGGAUUCUACACACACGUACCUAAAGGCAAACCUAAUCUAGACCUUUUUUCAUUAACACUCACAUCCCAGGUGAUUCUCAAUUGUAUCAUUCAACAACAACAACAACAACACCUGACCAUGAAACCAUGUAAUAUACACGCCAGACACUGAAAAGAAUUUGUGAGGUAUUCUUCCUGCUUUGAAUUGUUUGCUCAAUUUUGAUUGGCUGACAUAUAUAUGCAAAUAUCAAACCAUAUCCAUGGAC
rnacentral:lncRNA from 1 species